rnacentral:rRNA from 1 species
GGGGAAUAUUGCACAAUGGGCGAAAGCCUGAUGCAGCAACGCCGCGUGAGCGAUGAAGGCCUUCGGGUCGUAAAGCUCUGUCCUCAAGGAAGAUAAUGACGGUACUUGAGGAGGACGCCCCGGCUAACUACGUGCCAGCAGCCGCGGUAAUACGUAGGGGGCUAGCGUUAUCCGGAAUUACUGGGCGUAAAGGGUGCGUAGGUGGUUUCUUAAGUCAGAGGUGAAAGGCUACGGCUCAACCGUAGUAAGCCUUUGAAACUGGGGAACUUGAGUGCAGGAGAGGAGAGUGGAAUUCCUAGUGUAGCGGUGAAAUGCGUAGAUAUUAGGAGGAACACCAGUUGCGAAGGCGGCUCUCUGGACUGUAACUGACACUGAGGCACGAAAGCGUGGGGAGCAAACAGG